rnacentral:rRNA from 1 species
GACGAACGCUGGCGGCGUGCUUAACACAUGCAAGUCGAACGGUAAGGCCCUUCGGGGUACACGAGUGGCGAACGGGUGAGUAACACGUGGGUGAUCUGCCCUGCACUUCGGGAUAAGCCUGGGAAACUGGGUCUAAUACCGGAUAGGACUCCGGACUGCAUGGUCUGGGGUGGAAAGCUUUUGCGGUGUGGGAUGGGCCCGCGGCCUAUCAGCUUGUUGGGGGGGUGAGGGCCUACCAAGGCGACGACGGGUAGCCGGCCUGAGAGGGUGACCGGCCACACGGGGACUGAGGUACGGCCCAGACUCCCACGGGAGGCAGCAGUGGGGAAUAUUGCACAAUGGGCGCAAGCCUGAUGCAGCGACGCCGCGUGAGGGAUGACGGCCUUCGGGUUGUAAACCUCUUUCAGCACAGACGAAGCGCAAGUGACGGCAUGUGCAGAAGAAGGACCGGCCAACUACGUGCCAGCCGCCGCCGUAA